GACGAACGCUGGCGGCGUGCUUAACACAUGCAAGUCGAACGGAAAGGCCCCUUCGGGGGUACUCGAGUGGCGAACGGGUGCGUAACACGUGAGUAACCUGCCCUUGACUUCGGGAUAACUUCAGGAAACUGGGGCUAAUACCGGAUAGGAAUCCUUGCUGCAUGGUGGGGGUUGGAAAGCUUCGGCGGUUUUGGAUGGACUCGCGGCUUAUCAGCUUGUUGGUGGGGUAGAGGCUUACCAAGGCUUUGACGGGUAGCCGGCCUGAGAGGGCGACCGGCCACAUUGGGACUGAGAUACGGCCCAGACUCCUACGGGAGGCAGCAGUGGGGAAUAUUGCACAAUGGGCGGAAGCCUGAUGCAGCAACGCCGCGGGCGGGAGGACGGUCUUCGGGUUGUAAACCGCUUUCAGCAGGGGCGAAGCUUGUGGUGACGGUACCUGCAGAAGAAGCACCGGCUAACUACGUG
rnacentral:rRNA from 1 species